rnacentral:rRNA from 1 species
CGAACGCUGGCGGCGCGUUUAAGCAUGGCAAGUCGAGCGGCAAGGGCCUUCGGGCCCCUAGAGCGGCGGACGGGUGAGUAACACGUGGACAAUCUGCCCCCCGGCCCGGGAUAGCCCAGGGAAACCUGGAUUAAUACCGGAUGAGACGGGACCCGCGAUGGCGGGACCCCGGGAAAGGCGCUGCGGCGCCGCCGGGGGAUGAGUCUGCGUCCCAUUAGCUAGACGCGGGGUAACGGCCCACCGUGGCGACGAUGGGUAGCCGGCCUGAGAGGGUGGACGGCCACAUUGGAACUGAGACACGGUCCAGACUCCUACGGGAGGCAGCAGCUAAGAAUCUUCCGCAAUGGGCGAAAGCCUGACGGAAGCGACGCCGCGUGAACGAAGAAGGCCGUGAGGUUGUAAAGUUCUUUCGGGAGGGGGAACAACCGUGGCAGGGAAUGGCCGCGGGAUGACGUGAAUCCCGGAAUAAGCCCCGGCUAACUACGUGCCAGCCGCCGC